ensembl:lncRNA
GCUAAGGUUAGGGUUAGGGUUAGUGUUAGGGUUAGUGCUAGGGUUAGGUUUAGAAUAAGGGUUAGGAUAAGGGCUAAGGUUAGGGUUAGGGUUAGUGCUAGGGUUAGGUUUAGAAUAAGGGUUAGGAUAAGGGCUAAGGUUAGGGUUAGUGCUAGGGUUAGUGCUAGGGUUAGGUUUAGAAUAAGGGUUAGGAUAAGGGCUAAGGUUAGGGUUAGGGUUAGUGCUAGGGUUAGUGUUAGGGUUAGGUUUAGAAUAAGGGUUAGGAUAAGGUUAGGGUUAGGGUUAGUGUUAGGGUUAGUGCUAGGGUUAGGUUUAGAAUAAGGGUUAGGAUAAGGGCUAAGGUUAGGGUUAGGGUUAGUGCUAGGGUUAGGUUUAGAAUAAGGGUUAGGAUAAGGGCUAAGGUUAGGGUUAGUGCUAGGGUUAGUGCUAGGGUUAGGUUUAGAAUAAGGGUUAGGAUAAGGGCUAAGGUUAGGGUUAGGGUUAGUGUUAGGGUUAGUGCUAGGGUUAGGUUUAGAAUAAGGGUUAGGAUAAGGGCUAAAAUUAGGGUUAGUGCUAGGGUUAGUGCUAGGGUUAGGUUUAGAAUAAGGGUUAGGAUAAGGGCUAAGGUUAGUGUUAGUGCUAGGGUUAGUGCUAGGGUUAGGUUUAGAAUAAGGGUUAGGAUAAGGGCUAAGGUUAGGGUUAGGGUUAGUGCUAGGGUUAGGUUUAGAAUAAGGGUUAGGAUAAGGGCUAAGGUUAGGGUUAGGGUUAGUGCUAGGGUUAGUGUUAGGGUUAGGUUUAGAAUAAGGGUUAGGAUAAGGGCUAAGGUUAGGGUUAGGGUUAGUGCUAGGGUUAGGUUUAGAAUAAGGGUUAGGAUAAGGGCUAAGGUUAGGGUUAGG